CCUACGGGAGGCAGCAGUGAGGAAUAUUGGUCAAUGGACGAGAGUCUGAACCAGCCAAGCCGCGUGAGGGAUGACUGUCCUCUGAAUUGUAAACUUCUUUUGUAUGGGAAUAAAGUGUUCCACGUGUUCACUGUUGUAUGUACCAUAUGAAUAAGGAUCGGCGAACUCCGUGCCAUCAGCCGCGGUAAUACGGAGGAUCCGAGCGUUAUCCGGAUUUAUUGGGGUUAAAGGGAGCGUAGGUGGAUGGUUAAGUCAGUUGUGAAAGUUUGGGGCUCAACCGGCGAAUGGCAGUUGAAACUGGCAGUCUGGAGUACGGGAGAGGUGGGCGGAAUUCGUGGUGUAGCGGUGAAAUGCGUAGAUAUCACGAAGAACUCCGAUUGCGAAGGCAGCUAACUGG
rnacentral:rRNA from 1 species